rnacentral:rRNA from 1 species
UAGUCGAUGGGAAACAGGUUAAUAUUCCUGUACUUGGUGUUACUGCGAAGGGGGGACGGAGAAGGCUAUGUUAGCCGGGCGACGGUUGUCCCGGUUUAAGCAUGUAGGCUGAUUAUCCAGGCAAAUCCGGAUAAUCAAGGCUGAGGUGUGAUGACGAGGCACUACGGUGCUGAAGUAACAAAUGCCCUGCUUCCAGGAAAAGCCUCUAAGCAUCAGGUAACAUUAAAUCGUACCCCAAACCGACACAGGUGGUCAGGUAGAGAAUACCAAGGCGCUUGAGAGAACUCGGGUGAAGGAACUAGGCAAAAUGGUGCCGUAACUUCGGGAGAAGGCAC